GAUGGACGCUGGCGGCGUGCCUAAUACAUGCAAGUCGAGCGAACUGAUUAGAAGCUUGCUUCUAUGACGUUAGCGGCGGACGGGUGAGUAACACGUGGGCAACCUGCCCGUAAGACUGGGAUAACUUCGGGAAACCGAAGCUAAUACCGGAUAGGAUCUUCUCCUUCAUGGGAGAUGAUUGAAAGAUGGUUUCGGCUAUCACUUACAGAUGGGCCCGCGGUGCAUUAGCUAGUUGGUGAGGUAACGGCUCACCAAGGCAACGAUGCAUAGCCGACCUGAGAGGGUGAUCGGCCACACUGGGACUGAGACACGGCCCAGACUCCUACGGGAGGCAGCAGUAGGGAAUCUUCCGCAAUGGACGAAAGUCUGACGGAGCAACGCCGCGUGAGUGAUGAAGGCUUUCGGGUCGUAAAACUCUGUUGUUAGGGAAGAACAAGUACAAGAGUAACUGCUUGUACCUUGACGGUACCUAACCAGAAAGCCACGGCUAACUACGUGCCAGCAGCCGCGGUAAAAC
rnacentral:rRNA from 1 species